AUUGAACGCUGGCGGCAUGCCUUACACAUGCAAGUCGAACGGCAGCACGGGUGCUUGCACCUGGUGGCGAGUGGCGAACGGGUGAGUAAUAUAUCGGAACGUACCUUAUUGUGGGGGAUAACGCAGCGAAAGCUGUGCUAAUACCGCAUAAUCCCUAAGGGGGAAAGCGGGGGACCGUAAGGCCUCGCGCAAUUAGAGCGGCCGAUACCUGAUUAGCUAGUUGGUUCGGUAAGGGCUCACCGAGGCAACGACCAGUAGCUGGUCUGAGAGGACGAUCAGCCACACUGGGGAGGAGACACGGCCCAGACUCCUACGGGAGGCAGCAGUGGGGAAUUUUGGACAAUGGGCGCAAGCCUGAUCCAGCAAUGCCGCGUGCAGGAAGAAGGCCUUCGGGUUGUAAACUGCUUAUGUACGGAACGAAACGGUCCUGGUUAAUACCCGGGGCUAAUGACGGUACCGUAAGAAUAAGCACCGGCUAACUACGUGCCAGCCGCCGCCGUAA
rnacentral:rRNA from 1 species